UGCUUUUAGGAGGUUUCGGAUGAGCGGCCACAAAGUUCGUCGAGAGAAGCUUUUGUGGAAAUAUGUUGAGUGCCCGCAACAACAAGGAGGCACGGAGUGCGGUUAUUUUGUGAUGCGGUACAUUUUUGACGUACUCGCUUCAUAUUUUGGUUCGUUGGAUAUGGACAAAGUUGCUCAAACCUUUACCAAAGAUCCUUAUACGGAGGAUCAAAUCAAUGAG